rnacentral:misc_RNA from 1 species
GAUGAAGAACGCAGCGAAAUGCGAUAAGUAGUGUGAAUUGCAGAAUUCAGUGAAUCAUCGAAUCUUUGAACGCACAUUGCGCCCCUUGGUAUCCCGAGGGGCAUGCCUGUUCGAGCGUCAUUUCACCACUCAAGCCUGGCUUGGUGUUGGGCGACGUCCUCUUUGGGGACGCGCCUCGAAACGCUCGGCGGCGUGGCACCGGCUUUAAGCGUAGCAGAAUCUUCCGCUUUGGAAGUCGGGGCCCCGUCUGCCGGAAGACCUGCUCGCAAGGUUGACCUCGGAUCAGGCAGGGAUACCCGCUGAACUUAAGCAUAUCAAUAAGCGGAGGA